rnacentral:lncRNA from 1 species
GUUUGGAUUUAGUUUAGGUUCAAAAUUGGAUUUAGUUUAGGUUCAAAAGAGCACGCACAGAUCCUGAGUGUUGUCAAGCACCUGUGACUGGGAAACGGAGGCGUCCGAUCCGUAUUGGAGUCAAUUCGCCACUUAAUUGAACACAGCCUCGAAGGGAAGGGCCAUAUUUGUGGGCCUGUCUAACAAUUAAGAGUGACCACAUGGAAUGGGGGAUGAAAGGGUUAAAGAAGAACAAAUAUUGAAAACAGCUUUUCUAUGAACAAACUGCAGGCAGCUGCUGCUUUGCAAGAAAAACCCUUUGAAAAGAUUCAGCACGUUGCCAUGGAGAACAUCCCACUGAAGGAAUGUAUAGAAGUAGCAGGGUUAACUGAGUGCCUUCCAUCUUCUCUCCAAGGGAUCUGCAAUGAAAUGGGAGAAGGCAACAGGCUGUGUGGGAACCACUGAAGCUGGGAUGGCAGGGAAAGAACAUCUUAGGCUAACUCUUCAAGCCUUGCUGCCACAUUUGCUUUUGAGUCUAUGGUGUCAGCUGCCUACCAGUUGCUUUCAUCUCUAGAAAUCUGUGACUUGCAGUAUGACAAGAACAAAAGGUGACAAUACAAAGGACAAAGGGCAAGGAAUACGAUGGAGAAGCCGCUUAGAGUCUAGGAUGGCAGAGGUUCUCUUGAUCAUUUCAUUUUUGAGCGCUUGUAGAGCUUUGGUAUACCAGAGGUGCUUGAACAGCUUACCACACCACAGAUGAAUGGCCUUUGGUUUUCUCCUAAGAAAAUGCGGCUACCUGAAAUUCAACUCCAUUUUCUGGUCUUCAGUAUUUCUUUUGUGCUCAGUUUGCCAGCUGAGGAGAAGUGGCUAAGCAUAGCCUGCUACUGAUGCUAAAGCCCAAGUUCUGAACCUAACAACUCCAGCAACACGAUCCUAUUUCAAGAGACAAAAAGUGAAUAAUGAAAGAAAACAAUUGAUGUGCUAUGUAGAGUUUAAAAGAAGGUAAAAUGAAUACGUUAAUUAAAAGCAACAACUCUC